GCAAACUUGGUCAUUUAGAGGAAGUAAAAGUCGUAACAAGGUUUCCGUAGGUGAACCUGCGGAAGGAUCAUUAAAGAGUUUUUUUCGAUUUUUUAAUUAAAAUUGAAAAACUUCCUAUCACUUGUUUAAUUAAAACAAAAUUUUCGUUGCUUCGGCAUGUUUUAUUUUAUUGAUAUGUCGAUAGCUAUUUUUAAAUUCGAUUUUAUUUUUGAUGUCUAAAGAUUUUUGAAAAUUGUUAAAAACAAUUGAAUUAAAAACUUUCAACAACGGAUCUCUUGGUUCUGGCAUCGAUGAAGAACGCAGC
rnacentral:misc_RNA from 1 species